rnacentral:tRNA from 1 species
GGGGGUAUGGCGAAAUUGGCAGACGCAGCGGACUUAAAAUCCGCCGCCUUCGGGCUUGUGGGUUCGAGUCCCACUACCCCUACCA